rnacentral:lncRNA from 1 species
CUCAGCCCGCCUGCACCCAGGUGAAAUAAACAGCCUUGUUGUUCACAUAAAGCCUGUUUGGUGAUCUCUUCACAUGGAUGCAUGAGACACUUAUCACACAGAGCGUGGUCCCAGGCUGCUAAGAUUGCUGGAACUCAGCUACUCUCCCAGCCGAUUGUCUGGUCAAACUGGACAGCCUGGGGAUGGCAGACGCACAAGAGAACUAGUAGAAGCAGACAAGUUCCGCGAGGCCUGGGCUUGGAAUUACACCACUCUCACUUCCAUCUCAUUGCUUUGGCUCAAGGCAACCAAGGAGCCAGUGGCAAUGCUUCCCACCCCUUGAGGAGCACCUGCCUUAGAAGGAACCCAAUAAGAAAAAAGCAGAACCGGGAGACAGGAAGGGGAAAGCAAUCAGGGAAGACCAGCAACAAGAAUAAAACCUGCAGAGACCCUGCCCCGGCAGCCUCUGCCUUCCAGUUCUGGAUCCCGGCACCCCUGCUGAGAUGGUCCCGCAACCCCCUUGACUUCCUCUCUCUAAUUUCUGAGAGUAAAGCUCACCAAACCUUCUCCCAGCCCUGAAAAGUCUCAACUGUGAAAACUUGGCUGGGAAAGGACUUGGAUACAAAGGGACUCUGUGUAGCCUUCCUUGGAUCUUUGAAAAACAGCGACAACACUGCUGAACCAAACACCCUGAAACUAAGGACGCUUUCUGAUAAGCUAUUGAGAUUCACUGGUCAUUUCUGCUGUGCUGGACAGGAGCCCCGAUGGAACGGGCCUUUCAGAAGCCAAUAAAGACCCGUGGCAUGGAACUCCUGGGACUUCCUCCAUCCACAUCUUAAGGAGCUGCCCUGUCCCCUGUCUUCCUGCCUGAAUAUGAUGCCUCUCUGGCGUGAAAGCUGAGAAUGAAGUGCAGGAGAGAACGUGUGUGUGUGUGUGUGUGUGUGUGUGUGUGUGUGUGUGUGUGUGUGUAUACGUGACUGCUUCUUAUAAACGCAUAGAAAUGAAACCUCAAGAUAAAUACAUCUGGCUGGUACGAUGGCUCGCGCCUGUAAUCCCAGCGCUUUGGGAGGCCGAGGCAGGCAGAUCACUUGAGGUCAGGAGUCUGAGGCCAGCCUGGCCAACAUGAUGAAAUCUUAUCUCUACUAAAAAUAUAAAACUUAGCUGGGCAUGGUGGCAGGCCCCCUGUAAUCCCAGCUACUUGGAGGCUGAAGCAGGAGAAUUGCUUGAGCCAGGGAGGCAGAGGUUGCAGUGAGCCAAGAUCACACCACUGCACUCCAGCCUGGGCAACAGAGCAAGACUCCGUCUCAAAAAAGAAAAAAGAAAAAUAAAUCUGCUGAAAAGUAGAAUGCCAUGUGUAGUGGGUUGUUCCCUAAACGUUCAUGUUCACUCAGAACAUCAUAUAUGACCUUACUUGGCAGUAGGCUGUUUGCAGAAAUAAUCAGUUAAUGCUUGAGAUGAGAUCACACUGGAUUAGGGUGAAUUCUACAUCCAAUGACUGGUGUCCUUAUAAAAAAGAGGAAAGGACACAGAGCGACAAAGUCCACAUGAAGACAGAGGUGGGCAGAGAUUGGAGUUAUCUGCCGCAAGCCAAGGUACGCCUGAGGUCUCCAGAAGCUAAAGGCUUCUAGAAGCUUCUAGAGUUCCUCUAGACACUGAGGCAAGAAAGAGGCAAGAGGUGGUUUUAGCUGAAGGUGUGGCUUCCAGCCUCAGCCUGCUCAUACAGGAGGCUCUGGG